CACGGAAGUUCACGUAGGGAGGAGACUGCUGUUUGUGUUCAGUGUGAAACUAAAAGUCAACAUUAAAUUAUACUGAUUUACGUCCGUAGCUUAAUAACAUAACACACAGUCAUUUUAAGCCAGACCAUGAUGUUUUUUUACUAAACCUAACCAAGUGUUUUGUUUUGUUUUGUUUAAAUUUACAACGUGUAUAAAACUGCAACC